AUUCAUAACUAUAUCUUUUAUAUAAUAAUAUAUUUUUAAAAUAAUAAUCUUUUAUAUAGACAUGCUUUAAUAGAUCUAAUAAAUGAUUAACUCGGACCUACCAAUAUGGGUAUAUAAAUACUUAAAUCUGGGUAUUUAAAAUUUCGAAUGCGAAUUUUUAAAAAACCGAACUUAUAUUGAUCUAGAUCUCUUGUAUAAUAUCUAGAAUAAUAUAGAUCUACAACACCUAGGCCUAGACUAAAGUUAAAGACUAAGACUUCACUUUCACAUCACAUUCAGUCAUUCACACGAUAUUUGAUACAGACAGUGAAUGAAACGAAUGCAGUAGUUAUACUGAUUAUACUUAAAGUGACGAUACUACUUAUAGAUCUACCAGUUGAUAAACAUCAUCAUCAUAGAUAAUAAUCUACAUCUAUAAUCAUAGUGCCCUUUAUUUAGUCAAUAUAGUCAAGUCUAGGUAGUGGAACGUAAACUCGAAGGUUUUAUACAAUAUGUUAUUAACAAGUAGAACCAUGGCAACCAGUUCUGAUGAUGUACCAGAAUGGCUCAAGGAUCAUACUUAUACUAUUUCUACUCUCUGGGCAUCCAUUCAAUAUUUAAUUUAUGUUUGGAAAUGCAAGAAAAAGGCAUGCAUUCCUGAAAAGUCAAUGAUUGGUUGCACCUCUUAAAGAUAACUUUCUGUUAUGAGAAAACAUGAGAUUCUUGGACUCCUGCAUAGCACCACCAGAAAGGAAAAUCCCAUCAUGUUGCAAAAUAAAAGUCUUGGACCAAUUUUAAUUUAAGAUAUAUAUAUUAUACUGUAAGCUGUAUACAUAUUUAUGUAUAUUCUGUCAUUCAGCCAACAGGUUUGGAUUUAGUAUUUCUUUAAAUCUGUUUGAUAUUGUACUUGAAAACUAUUAAUCUGAGCCCCAUUAAAACAAGAGGGAGUGCAGUGGAUGAGUGGUAAGGGAAAUUUUACUUUUUUAAAAAUUAAAAUAAGAAUCUAACAAAAGUAAACAUAUAAAAUAUGGUGCAUUCUCCUUAAAACUAAAACCUGGUGCAAAGGUUUAAAAUGUUGGCAAAAAAAAAGCAACAUCAAUUAAAUAUUCUUAAUUCCCUUUGCAAAACUUACUGAGAAGAACAUGCAUGUUGUUCCCUCAUAAGUUUCUUGACAGAGGAAAUCUUGUUUAUAUUAGAUUUGAAUUAAGCAAAUUAAGAAAAAAAUUAUAAUCAUUAUUUCAAAUGGUUGUAUCUAAACCUUAUGAAUUAUUUUUCAGUUAUAAGUAUAUUGAAAUGAAUGGAUAAUCAUGAAAUUGUUAAAUAAUUGCUGCUAUCAUUCCAUUGACUAAAGAACCAUAAUUUUUUUUUUAAUUAAUUUCAAAAUUAAUUAAUUAAUUAAUUUUCAAGCAGAGUUCACAUAGAUCUUGAGUGAAAUUUUUCUUUUUUUGACAAAUGCUUCAAUUUUAUUGUAUCAUUAGUUUUUUAUUUUUAUUACCCAGAAUAUUUUAAAAAUGAGUACACUAUUUUCAUGUAAUAAUGUAUAUUGGUAUUCACACAUCAAAAUACGCUAUAAUCUUUAGGCCAUAUAGAUUUGUAUAAAUAUAAAUUAACUUGCUUAAAUACAUUGUAAAUGCAUAUUGUUUGGAUAAGAAUAAAGUUUUUCUGUAGACAAUUAUUGUUCAAGAUUUGUUGAUGCUCCUGCUUAAUAAAUUAUAUACACAGGUCAUUAGCACACUACUGACACAAGAAAAACUGGUCGCCCCCACUUCCAUUACAUAGAUGUAAUAAAACGUGACCUCAAAUCAGUGAACAUCAAUACUGACAAUUGGGAAGGCAUAGCUUUAGACCGCAACAGAUGGAGAGACAGUGACCAAGAAAGCUAUGGACAGUGAAAGUACAUAGGUCUCAGCUCAGGAAGAAAAACGUACAAUCCGAAAAAUGGCCAGCUCCUCUACCACCGAAGCAAAAACCACCUUAACCUGUGCUAUCUGUGGAUGGGAGUGUCUCUCCGAAAUAGGGCUCCACAGCCACAUGAGGAAGUGUGCUCUGAGAUGAAACCUUAGUCUUUCUAUUUCUACGACUGAAGGAGGCCAAUGAUGAUGAUACAGGUCAUUAGUUUUAACACGUCUGAUAAUAAAUGACAGUACAAGUUAUUGAAUGAAAAUUUGUCAUUAUUUCAGGUGCUUUAGGCCUACAUCAAUGUGAGGUACCAGUACUUUGAUUGUGUCAUAUAACAAUUUAAAGCAACAUUUUGAAAUGAAUAGUGUGUAGAAUUGACAGUAAAUACAUUUAAGUGAUGGGCUGUGAUCUGCAUGAAUUGAAUUUGUGUUUUUUAUCUUUACUUCAAGUAAAUGUUAAUGAACAAUUAAUUUUUAAUGAAUAAAUAAUUUAAAAAUAAAUACAAAGAAACCAUAAA